rnacentral:rRNA from 1 species
CGACCGCCGAAGCAGAGGGUGGUAGCGGGGGAGAGUAGGGGAGGGGGUGAGUAGGCUGUCACCGAUGUACGCGUGUGUUGGCCGCUGGUUGUAGUGCGUUUCCAGCGGUGGCGGCAGCGGCUUCCUGUCGCAAGGGGUUUACGAUCGGUGUUGGAGACGGAGCCGGAGGAGCUGGCGGUGAGCGAGAAGAACCGUCGUGGCACGACGGAAGGUAGGGUACGGCACAGGUGGUUGACGGGACGAGCGCGGCUGGAGUGGUUAGAGCGCCAGCGCGAACCGACACGAGCGGAACAGGAGCGGCCGUAGCGUCGGCGUCCGGUGCACCUGAUUUUGAGGCGGCGGUCGCUGUCGCCCAGGAAGGGCACGGAGAUGCUGGAGUACCGGUUCAGGAGGAGAGGGGUUUAGCUGUAGGUGGGGAAACAGCUCGGACGGUACGGUCAUUGUACUCGUCCUACCACAUGUGGCCGAGCCCUACUCCAGCUGCAACUAGUCAGCUUGUCAAACACCUCGACAUGGUCCAGUUCUGUACCGUCCUUUACUGUAACACUUCUUCAACCGUCGAAGUGCUGUGGUGACCUUGUGUCUAGUUCUUGAGUAUUCAUAGUUAC